rnacentral:lncRNA from 10 species
CUUCGUGGGACUGCCCAAGAGAUUGUCCCAUCUCAGCCUGGAGGACAUAGCAAACGAGCUGAGGAAGGUGAAUGCUGCAACCCUCUCUCCUCAGCCCUGCAGCCGAUCCCUGACAUAAACUCCUUGAAGUUCAGUGGCCUCUUUCCAUGCACCUACCACCUACACCUGCUGCUUUCAAAGAAACCACAACCUGGACCGGGAACAGAACUGGACGUGCCAAAAUGCCUGAGGACACUUCAUCGAAUGUGGCUGGCUUGAUGGGAAGCUGGCAUGACUAGAAAUGUCAGGAGUCUUCCCUCUCGAGGUUUCAAGCUUUGUGUUUCUGACUCAAUGGUCCGGAUUGAGAUCAGAUGAGUCAAGUUCAGAUGACCAUGCAAACCUUUAGAUGGGGCCUAAAACCAAAUCUGUGUUCUCAAACCAUUCCAAAUGUGUUCAUCACCAGUUAUAGUUUACCAUACCACCCAAUCCAAGAGAGUGCAGUCAUUUCUCUAAUAGCAGAUGCAUAAUUUUCUCAUCAAUGGAAAAUCUAAGUGUACAUCACAAGGUCAAAAGUUGCGAGAAACUUGACACCUUCGAGAUUGUGCCAAACCUCAAGCUUGCAGUAAUAAGGGCUCUCAGUCAAACCUUCUGAGAAUGAAGUGUAUUUGACCCAACGUUUAGCAUAAGCAAGCACGUACUAUGCUGUCCCUUUACGAUGGCUGAAUUCUUGGCUAGACUAUGAAGGAACACAACAGCCUAAGCAAAGCCUAUAUAAAACAUCAACCCACGGUCAUGGCCCAAUGAGAUAUAGAGAUAUUGUUGAAAUCCAAGAAAGUGAAACAAAAAUCCUGAGCCUUAUUCGCUAAAUUCCCUUAAUUGUGACACACUAAACAAGUAACAGUCAUUAGUUCUAGUAUCAUGUAAGUACAACAUUCUAAAAUGGCUACUACAGAUAUCAAAAGCAUUAAUUCAAUGUACACUUACUGGGCACCCACUGUGUGCUAGGGGAAGUGUGCUAGGGUAAUGGAGAUUCACCAUGGAACUUCCUUUUAUUUUCCCUCACUGCCUUUCUCUUUUCAAAUAUUUAAUGACCAUCCACUGCGUCCCAGAAGUUGCCAGGCCUGGGGCAGGAGAUUCUCUCUCCUUAAGGCCCCUGUGUCCCAGCUGGGAGUGACAGAUACAUCAACCAAUAAAUAACAUGGUGGGAAAAGUCCAUUAAUAAUGAUGUGCACACAGUCCUUAGGGGUAUCCUUGACCAUCAUGCUCCAGCUUAGAUCUCUGAAAACGACCUUUUGGCUGUUACUGAGGAUGUCAGCAAUAAAACUGGAUCCUAAAGAAACCAUUCAUGAUGAUAUAUCCUUAUUGGAAUUGACAAUGCAUGAGGAAAUCACACAUGUAGGUCCCAACUGAUAAAGCAUUAUCCAUCCAUUAAGUUAGACAGGAGAGGUGGCUUAAUGUCAAUAACAUAUCUCAGAAAAAAAAUGUGCUUAUCUCUUGAUUUUUGUAGAUCAAAUCCCACUAGAGGAAUUGGGUAUGUUUGUAGACCCAACCACUUACAUUGAUAAGGCAGUUUUCAAAGUGCUUUUAUAAGUAUUUGCUCAUUGGGUCCUCAGAGUAACCCUGGAGGUAGCUGGUGGCUCACCAGUGUGGCAUGGUUGUGAUGAGGACUACUGUACCAUGCUCUUCGUCAAGCAAAAGGCAGACAGUCACUCUCCACCUUUUUAUAGAUAGAUUGACUGAUUGAUUGAGAUGAGUCUCACUAUGUUGCCCAGGCUGGUCUUCAACUCCUGGGCUCAAGUGAUCUCUCUGCCUUAGCCUCACGAGUACCUGAGACUACAGGUGCGAGCCACCAUGCCUGGCUCAUUCUUCAUUUUAAAAGCAUAAUAAAUACUCUUUAAAAAUUCCAAGGAACGAGAUGUCCCUCUAAACUGCCUUCUUCCUCUUCGUGUAAUUUGACAUUAAGUGUCCUGGUGUGUUAAGCUUGCCUCUAUUUAAAUAGCCCUGCAGAAGGCCAUACCACUCAGGCUUAAGGGGACAGAAGGUACUCUGUCCUGGAAGCAUCAUGACACUAAAAGUUCAUUAAGAUCUCUAUCCCAGCUAUUACACUCCUAAGGUCACUGGGCUCUCCUCAAUAGGUAUAUUAAGCAGCAGCCUCAAAAACAGUCCUCAGUUUUAGGAUGCAAGGAAAAUAAUUCACGAAGGUGAUCAACUUUAAGUUCAAAUUAUAUUCACUCUAGAUUUUAUCAUGGCUCCUGCCCAUGAAUAUACCAUCUUCCAUUCACAUCUAAGGCAACUAGUUCAGGGUGAGAGGAAAUGGGCACUUUAUGAACAUCUGCUAUAUACAAAUCUUUACCCACCUUUUUCCUCCUUUAGAAUUUUUCUAACUCAGUGGACUCUCCAUGAUUCAAAGGAAGUCCUUGAUUUUCACUCCUUCUCACAAGGUUACCUCUUACAGGUAACAGUACCCUCUUGCCUGCAAAGGUCAGGACAAGAGGAUAGAGGAAAAAGCUAAGGGAAUCUCAGAACCGUUUAUGUGCUAAAAUUCUUAGCUUAGAUGUAUAGAUGGACAAGGAAAAGUGGGCAAGAGAAAGUAAAACUAAAAUUUAGGCAAGGAAGCCAAUUACCCAGUAAAGAGGGAGGCUAGCAUCCUAGCAUGAGAGUAUCAGACCAGACUAUCUCAGACCCUUAGUCUUGUGGAUCAAGGCACUGAUGGAGGGCACUGUAGAAAAGUGUUGAAAGCAAUAUGGCAGACACUACUGGAUUGGCAAAUUGCAUCCGCUCCUACCAAAGGAUCACACUCCCAGAAGCUAAAGGAAAGAAAUGGAGAGUGGGAGGUGUAUUUUGGGUAAAAAAGAAAAAGAAGCGCUUGUAUGAAUUUUCAUGUUAUUUCAGUGAAGUCAUAAUAGAACAGCUUCCCUUCCCAGAGCUUGCCCAGAACAGCUAUUUAAAGGGGGAGUGAGAACUGUACAAGCUUUGACUAGAUUCUGAGGUCGGAGCCUUAAUUAGAGUCACAAUUGUAUUGUACAUCUAUUUGUGUAACUGUUCAAUUAGGAGUGUAAUAGCUGGGACAGAGAUCUUAAUGAGCUUUUAGUGUCAUGAUGCUUCAAGACUGCCCUUUUUUGGUUGUUGUUAUUAUUAAGCUUUCAUAUAGGGGCUUUUCCUCUCUGCUGUCCAACUGUGUGGUUCUCCCUUCAGGCAGGUUGAAAUGCAAGACUGAGUCUUGCUAUAUCUAAACUUGGGCAUUAAAAAUGGGCUGUCUUCCCCUUAUCAUCUUCAUGAUUAGCUUGUAAACAGUUUCUUGGGUCUAUCCUGUUAUCAACAAAAACUCUAGGAAUACUGGAAUAUUAGGGCCAAUCUUUUACAGUUGAGAUAAUUGAGAUUCAGAAAGAUGAAGUGAACUACUGGACACAGCACAGAUAGUGACAGAGCCUGGGCUUGCACAUUAGUGUUCUGACCUUUCAGGAACAAAACAAUCACAAUGCCUGUACAUGUCAUAAUAAGGUCAUUCUAACACUACAAUGUACACCAGUACCCAAACUGGAUCAUUCAUUUAAAAAAAAUUCAUUCCCGAAGACAUAGUUUUUGUGGUCUUAAUAGGUAUUUUACUUAAUUUUCCUCUGCCUUUCACUACUUAGACUUGGGUACAAUUAAAGAUGAUAUUUAUAUUUUGUGUUAUAUAGAAUGAACAGCACUCAAACACAUUCUUAUUUAAGCAAAUCUGGCCUACGAAAAGCUGUAUUCAUGAACCCUCACCAAAUAAAUGGUGAGGAUGGUUUUUUGUUUUGGCUUUAGAAAAUGAUUCUCUGCCUUAAUUCCCUCACAUGUAAAAUAGGCAUAAUACUGCCAUCUACCUUACAGGAUUGUUGGGAAGAUUAAAUGAAGUAAUGCAGUUAAACUGUUUAGUAGACUGUUUCGCAGAGCUUCAAACUCAGUCAAUACUAGCUGCUUUUGUUCUUAUUCUUUUCAUUAUCACAAAAGGGUGGCCAGAAGAUUAUGCAUGCCAAC